rnacentral:pre_miRNA from 1 species
AGCUGGUUGACUUCGGGUCAAAUCGUCAAAUAUUUGCAAAGAUAUUUCCUCAGUGAAAUCAUUUGGUCCCCUUCAACCAGCUGU